CCCGUCUUCAACCCCGAAGAACCUAGUGCGGAUCCGGACAAGGCUGGAGCGGGAGUCGCCUCUAGCCAGCGUCGGCGGGGUCUAGGAUGGGAGCUGCAAUUCCUGGUUGAACCACUGAGCUCGGCUAGAAGACGGCACACAGAGCUCUGGCGCCGCCCAGAAUUGCCGUCUGUAGCUUGUAAUGUUAAUAAUGAUACAGUGACCUAGGGAAGGAGAGCCCGGGCCUAGAAACAACUCCCACCUCACACCCCUGCUAUGUCUUUGAUCUUUAAAGGAACAGGUAUUUAAUCAGGGAGAAGAGCUUGGCUCUGCCCCUAGCCAUCUUUCUUCACCACCUGUCCCCUCUGUACAGAGUCAGAAUUACCCGUUAUUAUUUGUACAGGUUUUUGGUUUCACAUCCUUAGCAGAUUGUGAUGCAUGUGGCUGUCACCAGUGUGCCUGCCUGGGAAGAGAGACUUGCCACUACAGAAUCAGCAGAAGGUUUUUAAUUAAAACCACACUCUCUUUAAGUAUUUAUUGAGCUCCGGGACUUUAAUUAUUUUCUAGAGAAAAACAAAGGAGAGUCUACAUUUGUGUAUGAGAAGACUGUUGAUUUCUGAGGAAAAUGCAACCUGUGGCAGGUAGCUGGAGGCAGUGGGGAGGGAUUUCCGGAGUGAUUCAAAUGAAGACUGACAUUAUUAACAAACCCAGAUCUAGCCCACGACCUUCCUCCCGGUGCUUUCAUUAAAUUAGCUCAACAUGCUGGCAAGACCAUUUAUGGCCAUAAAAAUUAACGAUGGCUCUUCUGGCAGUAGCUCAUGUAAUUUGUCUGGGUAUGCAUUUGUACUGCCGAUUCUGGGGGCUCCUUCCUGGGAGAGGCAGCACUUGCCAUGCAAGGUGCAGCAUGUCUAGCUGCCCCACUCCACCAAUGCAGAACUGGCUUCCCCGCUCCCCCCUCCCCAAAGAGGGCCUGAAGUGGCCAGCCUCCUCAUGGCAGGACUCAAUUGAUCAGGAGUCAGGGAAGGAAGGAGGGGAGGGGUGAUGGAGGAGGGUGGUCCAGCAGUGAAAGGUGUUUACCACUGAGGGAGAGGACCUGAGCCUCAGGACCCACGUGACGGAAGGGCAGAAUGCAUUCCUGUAAGCUAUCCCCUUACUUCUACAUGCACCACUGUGAUUAGUGUGGGCAUGCACAUAUACACAAAGAAAAAACUUAAAAAUUAAAGAAUUUAAGGGCUGGAGAGAUGUCUCCGAUUUUAAGAGUAGGACCUGAGUCCAAUUCCCAGCACCCACAUUGGACAGCUCACAACCACCUGAAACUCCAGCUCCAGGGAGAUCUCAGGCCUUUGGCCUCUUCAGGGUACCAUGACUCAUGUGCACAACCCCACACAUAGAUAGACAUGCAUACAUGUAAUUAAGAUAAAUCUUCUUAAAAGAGAUCGGGGGCAGGAUGAUGUUGGGGGAGGGGUGUUGCGCAAGAUCCAUUUUGCUAACGGUAAAAGUCACCUCAAAGGACAGAGACCAGUAACUGUGUCCUCUUCCAAAGCAGGAGGCAAAGCUGGCCUCAGGGUUGGUUAACUCUGUGCCUCUGCCACAUGAGUAGUCCCUCCCCCACAGCUCUUGACCCCCGGUUCUUUUCUCUUCUCUUAUCCUUGAUAGGAUAGAUAACUGGCUGUGCUCACUGAAGUUGGUAGAGGAUUUCAACAGCAGCUCGAUGAUAUGUUUACCAUUAACAGGCUGGUGCUCAGCUUAAGUUGUAGGUUGUGACCUCAUAUGGGGUCAUAAAACUGAAUGUGUGAGUAGUGAAAACUUUGGCAACAGUAAGAGGCUUCUGAACGUGCAAGGAUCAAAAUUACUUCAGAAUAAACCUCUACCGGAUGAAGUAUUUCUAGGGGGUGCUUGCCCGUGUUGUAGCUGGUAACUUCACUGAAGGCUUCGUUCUAAAUACACAGCAUGAGUACUCUGCUCUGUGCAAGCCGUUAUGACACUCAACAUGAACAAAAGCCACCGGAAACACCUUCGCUCACGUUGAGGACUGUUGGAUGUUAUGAACUGCAGAGAUUUUACUGUUCGUACAAAUUUUUCUGUUCUUAUAGAAACAUAAUGUUUUAAUCACAGAAGAAAAAGACAAUAUUUUUCUAUAAUCACUUCUCAGUGUAUAAGGAUUAAAUUAGUGUAUCUUUAAAUUGCAUUAGAUUAGAAUAUUUGAUUCCUAAGAUUGUUGUUUGAAUUUCUAACUUGAGCGGCAUUAAGAGAAAUGUUACAUGAAUUUUGGUUCAGGAUUAAGGCAGCCCUUCUAACAAUUUGGAAAAUGGCCCUCAAUAUACUUCAACCAUCAGUAUUGUGAAUUAAUCAAAGUGAUAUUCUCAGCAUUGGUUGAUUAUAAAUCAAAAUGCCAAUCAACUCUGAAAAACACUGAAGAUACUCUAUUAUCUGUGGUGUCAAAUAUUUGGCCAAGAUUGAACUUUUUAUGUAAAAAUGAACAUGCACCCUCAUCUCAUCUGCAUGAAAGUUAAUUAGCUUCCAUUUUAAUAAAUUAUAUAUAUAUCAAAGAAUUAUUUUAAGAAAAUUUCUUUCUAGUUUGCUAUCAGAAUGAUGCUUGAUUUAUACAUCAUCAUAUAUACCUAGACACAAAAAAUUUUUGAGGGGUGAAAAAGGGUCAUAGUUUCAGAAGACCCGGGCUAGUGGAUAGAGGACUGAUUUUCUGUCCCAAAGUCGUGCCUUUCUUUGGAUCCUAUUGUCACACAAUAGUUUAGGAUGUCCCAUCUCUAAAACAAUCCCUGGCCAAGAAAAUGAAGUGAUUAGCUUAGAAUAAUCUAGUCUUGAGUCAAUCCCAAAUUUCCCCACAAGCAGGAUACCCUUUCAUUAGAAGAGCUGGAGAUUUGUGAGUUCAGAGUAACCUAAGAUUAUGGCAGAAUGAAUUGCAGUGGCUGAUUAUAGCUGUAAUGAACUAGAGUCAGUAUUUAUGUGGAGAUGAGGUUGGUCUGUCCAUGAUCUGUGUCCAGCAGUAGGGCUCAAGUAGGGGUCCAGAUCAGGAUCAGGGCAGGGUAGUGUGUGUAACCAGGUUUGGGGAACUCUCUUUGCUGGGCAUAUAAAUAAGAGGAUCCUCUGCUUUCACAGAAUUCCUGAAAGGAUGGGAGUCUGUUCUUGGAAAUGCCUGUGCUGGGAUCCAAAGCUAUUUUGGUAGCAGCAGACGUUGUAUAUUUAUGAGCAGGGUAUGUUUAUGAGCUCAAAGAUGUUCCUGCAUGACUUUACAUCCUGAGCUUGUCACCCGUCCAUGGCAGAGAAAAGAGGCAUUACACCAUUGGGUGACAAACAGGAGGAAGAACGCACCAGUGGUCACAAGAAGAACCUGGAGGAAGCAGAAAACCGUGAAGAUAUCACUGGGUUUGGAGCUCACGGCUUGCCGCUACUGGCCCAUUCUUUUAUCAGUUUGGCUGGUUCUGUUUUUGUUUGAGAAAGUCUCAUGCAGUCCAGGCUGGCUGUAGUGGUUUGAAUGAGAUGCCCCCCUAAGUCUCAGGUAUUUGAUUACCACCCUGUUGGUGGCUAUUUGGGGAAGAAUUAGGAGGUGUGACCUUACUGGAGGAAGUUUGUCACUGGGGGCCAUGCUUUGAGGUUUCAAAAGACUCACAUCAUCUCCAGUGCUUUCUCUGUUCCUGCUUGCACUUCAAGGUGUGAGCUCUUGGCUUCUGCUUCUUCCUCUGCUGCCUCCAGUCCUCACCAUGGAUCCUAACUGUCAGAAUAAACCUUGAACAAACUCUACCAGACCUUGACCAACGAACUUCCUGUUCCCCGUAAGGCUUGCUGAAAUCACCCACCCCUUGGUUGAAAAUACAGCCGUUUUCCCCGCACUGCCAUGCCUAACUCAGUUACCCACUAUCACCCACAUCCUGAUAGCCAGGGCAAGGCAGUUUCUAGAGAUAAAUUGGCCUUGUCUGGAUGCAGGAAGUAGAGACCGCAGAUUCGAACAUGGCUCCCUGAAGCUGCAUUUAACUUCCCAUUCACAAAACCUCCUAUGUAAACUCCAAGUGUCCCCUCCCCACUUCACAGGCAACCCUUUUCUCGUAAGAAAGUGUCUGCCUCUCACUGUUUGAAAGAAAUUCUCCUCUGUGAGGUCAGACCCAGGGUCUCUUUCUGCUGCUUCAGAAAUCUAAAUACAAACCCCUUUGGAACCUUG